rnacentral:rRNA from 1 species
GAUGAACGCUAGCGGCAGGCUUAAUACAUGCAAGUCGAGGGGCAGCAUGACUGUAGCAAUACAGUUGAUGGCGACCGGCAAACGGGUGCGGAACACGUACAGAACCUUCCUUCGAGCGGGGAAUAGCCCAGAGAAAUUUGGAUUAAUACCCCAUAGUACAACGGAGUGGCAUCACUUUGUUGUUAAAGAUUUAUCACUUGAAGAUGGCUGUGCGGCUGAUUAGGUAGUUGGCGGGGUAACGGCCCACCAAGCCUGCGAUCAGUAACUGGUGUGAGAGCACGACCAGUCACACGGGCACUGAGACACGGGCCCGACUCCUACGGGAGGCAGCAGUAAGGAAUAUUGGUCAAUGAACGAAAGUCUGAACCAGCCAUGCCGCGUGGAGGAUGAAGGUCCUCUGGAUUGUAAACUUCUUUUAUAUGGGACGAAAAAAGGGUUUUCUAACUCGUCUGACGGUACCAUAUGAAUAAGCACCGGCUAACUCCGUGCCAGCAGCCGCGGUAACAC